rnacentral:rRNA from 1 species
GACGAACGCUGGCGGCGUGCUUAACACAUGCAAGUCGAACGGAAAGGCCCUGCUUUUGUGGGGUGCUCGAGUGGCGAACGGGUGAGUAACACGUGAGUAACCUGCCCUUGACUUUGGGAUAACUUCAGGAAACUGGGGCUAAUACCGGAUAGGAGCUCCUGCUGCAUGGUGGGGGUUGGAAAGUUUCGGCGGUUGGGGAUGGACUCGCGGCUUAUCAGCUUGUUGGUGGGGUAGUGGCUUACCAAGGCUUUGACGGGUAGCCGGCCUGAGAGGGUGACCGGCCACAUUGGGACUGAGAUACGGCCCAGAGUCCUACGGGAGGCAGCAGUGGAGAAUAGUGCACAAUGGGCGGAAGCCUGAUGCAGCAACGCCGCGUGCGGGAUGACGGCCGUCGGGUUGUAAACCGCUUUCGCCUGUGACGAAGCGUGAGUGACGGUAAUGGGUAAAGAAGCACCGGCUAACUACGUG